rnacentral:rRNA from 1 species
UACGGAGGGUGCAAACGUUGCUCGGAAUCAUUGGGCGUAAAGCGCACGUAGGCGGCCCAGCAAGUCGCGUGUGAAAGCCCCCCGGCUCAACUGGGGAGGGUCACGCGAUACUGAUCGACUCGAAGGCAGGAGAGGGUAGUGGAAUUCCCGGUGUAGUGGUGAAAUGCGCAGAUAUCGGGAGGAACACCAAUGGCGAAGGCAGCUCGCUGGGACGGUACUGGACGCUGAGACGCGAAAGCGUGGGGAGCAAACAGG